AUGCCGAUGAGCAGAAUUGGAUUAGGAGGUAUGAGGAAACACAUCCAACCUUGGUUUGACGAGGUGCCAACUAGGUCACCUCCUGCAUCAUGCAGGGAUGGCAUCAACUUGCUCGUGCCGAAGGUAAUGUGGGUGGAGAACAGGCUGUGCGGUCACACCAUUUUUGAAGAGGCACACACAAGGUCAGCAAGGAUUCGAUCUUCUCCACGACAACUUGAGGACCUCAUGGCAUGGGCACUAGAGCUAAACGGAUAUAAUAGGUACCCGAACUUGAAGAUCGUGAGGGAUUUGAUCUACAAGAGAGGCUAUGGAAAGCUCAACAAGCAAAGGAUUCCUCUAACCAAUAACAAGGUCACUAAGGAGGGUCUUGGAAAGCACAACAUCAUCUGCAUUAAGGACCUUGUCCACGAGAUCCUGACCAUUGGCCUUCACUUCAAGGAGGCCAACAACUUCCUGUGGCCAUUCAAGCUGAAGGCGCCGCUGGGAGGCCUCAAGAAGAAGAGGAACCACUACGUCGAGGGUGGUGACGCCGGCAACCGCGAGAACUACAUCAACCAGCUCGUCAGGAGGAUGAACUAG
rnacentral:rRNA from 1 species